rnacentral:lncRNA from 10 species
CAGCACCUUCUAUAAACCCUCCAGCUGUUUCAAACUAUUUGUGUGGGGCUUUCCACACAAGCUGUGUUCUCUCCCGUCCCCUUGCUUUAGUUCACUCUUUUCCUUUUGCUUGGAAUGCUCUUCCACUCUAUCUGUCAAUGCACUCAAAUGCCCACUCCUGGAUGGAGACUUUCCUGGCAACCCCAGGCAGAAUUAGCCACUCCCAAUUCUGUGUAUUCUCAUAGCACUCUGUAUCAUUAAUAUAGCACAUGCCAAUCUCCUGAUGUUCCCUUCCCACCUCUAGUCUGCCACCUAUAAAAAAAGUUGUGUAUUGCUUAGCAGUUUGCAAAUUUUCUGACUGAAGUUUCAAGAGGUUUGUGGGAUUGAUUGAUUACAGGAAGCGUGUAAAUUUUAUCUUCCCUGGGGAAUAAAAUUGUGGGACUAAUUGAUUCUUUUAAAUUGAUGAUGACACAACUGAUUUUGCUUUGUUUUAUUUGGCUUUGCCAACACGAAGCUCAGAGCCAAAAUUUUGGCUGCUUUAUUGCAAAUGUGUAAGAAUAUAUGACUUGGUUGUCUGUCUAGACAGCAGUGUCUAAUAGAUCUUUCUGCAAUCACGGCAAUAUUCUGUAUCUGAAAUGUCCAAUAAGUAGCCACUGGACACAUGUGGUGACUAAGCACUUAAAAUGUGGCUUGUGAACAGCACCCUCACUGACAGUGGCAGGUUGGCAAUGCCAAAGGCCACAGCCCUCUCCUGCAGCUUACCAGGACUUUCCAGACUCUGGUAACUGCCUCUUUCUUUGCUCUUUCAGGCCAAGAGCAGGUAACAGCCCCCAGUUGUUGUGAGCCUUAGGGCACAUUGCUAUCUCUUGGUUUUCCUUAACCCUGCCUGUAUCUUUGCAAAUUAUCAUGAAUCUCUUUUUGCCCACCUUCUUUAAGCAAGUCCUCUGCUUCCUUCCAGGACCUGUGACUGACACAAGCUGCCUCAUUCUUCCUUGUUUCGAAUCUCCCAUUUCUUAAAGGCAUUUAUGCAGAUAUUGAAUCUUGUAAUAUUUAACAAAACAAAGUAAAACCAAGCUAGGGGAGAAGCAAAAAGGUAGGAU